rnacentral:lncRNA from 1 species
CUUCUGGGACACAUUUUGUUCAGGAAAAAUGUCCUAAUGGCUUCUGAUUUCAAUGCUGCUGCAUAUCACAACACUAUGCCUGAGAAAAUACAAUGCCAUUUCAUAUGAUGAUAUUGUAGUGAAAUAAUAGAUCUUCAGUACCCUGAGCAGCAGAUUGAUGGGCAGCAUCUAUUAGAAACACUGAGCACUGAAUAUCUAAUCCUUCAAAAAGCUCUGUGUAUAAGACUGAUUUCAUGGAAGGAGAGGGAGAGAUGCCACAGGCCAAAGUAUGAUGGGACAAAAUACAAGCUUCAGCUUGCAAGACCUGACCUGGCAGAGGCAUCAGCAGCAAAGGGAUGCAUCAGCUGUGGGUCUUUGGGGUCCGCUGUUUUAAGGCCAAGAAAGCGCCUGCUAACUUCAAUCCUCCACCACCAGUUGCCUGGUGAGAUCUUGAAUUCAUGGCUUCCAUGGAUGAAGAUGAAGAAAGUUCCACGUGGCCAUCACGGUUUGCAUUCAGAACUUCUCCAAGUAAACAAACAACUUGAAAGAAUGAGGCUUUGCCAUCAACAAAAAGGCUCUCUAUUCAUUCAAUGAGUGCUUACCAUGCUUCACUUUACAUUGAUUAGUACAAUUAAACUUCAGAUCCAUGCCCUUUGUUUGUCUAAUGGAAGGAUCUGCUCCGUCCUCUAUCCCACUCCCUUAGUCACUUAUAAUCCCGAGCCCCAUGGAUAAAGAAAUUUUGACAAAAGAAGAUAAAUCAGUGUAUGACUGAGAAAGUUAAAAAUGUUAGAAAGCAUGAUCUUAUUUCCUCUUAUGUUUAUUGAUCAGUGUAUAUUUAUUAUUCAUUCUGCU